GAUGUGCAGCUUUAGCUGGUUGAAUCCGGGUCAAAUUUUUUUUGUAGUAUUUGGUCCCCUUCAACCAGCUGUAGUUGACAUUGUGA
rnacentral:pre_miRNA from 1 species